rnacentral:rRNA from 1 species
AGAGUUUGAUUAUGGCUCAGGAUGAACGCUAGCUACAGGCUUAACACAUGCAAGUCGUGGGGCAGCAUGGUUGUUGCUUGCAACAACCGAUGGCGACCGGCGCACGGGUGAGUAACGCGUAUCCAACCUGGCCCUUAGUAGGGGAUAGCCCGGCGAAAGUCGGAUUAAUACCCUAUGUUUUCCCAUGAGAGCAUUUGAAAGGGAACAAAGAUUCAUCGCUAGGGGAUGGGGAUGCGUCCGAUUAGCUUGCCGGCGGGGUAACGGCCCACCGGGGCGACGAUCGGUAGGGGUUCUGAGAGGAAGGUCCCCCACAUUGGAACUGAGACACGGUCCAAACUCCUACGGGAGGCAGCAGUGAGGAAUAUUGGUCAAUGGGCGAGAGCCUGAACCAGCCAAAGUAGCGUGAGGGAUGACGGCCCUACGGGUUGUAAACCUCUUUUGUACGGGAAUAAAGUGCGCCACGUGUGGCGUUUUGUAUGUACCGUAAGAAUAAGGACCGGCUAAUUCCGUGCCAGCCGCAGC